GAUCAUGGCUCAGGAUGAGCGCUAGCUACAGGCUUAACACAUGCAAGUCGAGGGGCAGCAUGGUCUUAGCUUGCUAAGACUGAUGGCGACCGGCGCACGGGUGAGUAACACGUAUCCAACCUGCCGUCUACUCUUGGACAGCCUUCUGAAAGGAAGAUUAAUACAAGAUGGCAUCACGAGUCCGCAUGUUCACAUGAUUAAAGGUAUUCCGGUAGACGA
rnacentral:rRNA from 1 species